UCCGUAGGUGGCAAUCGUUGUCCGGAAUUAUUGGGCGUAAAGCGCGCGCAGGCGGUUAUGUAAGUCUGAUGUUAAAGGCCGGGGCUCAACCUCGGUUCGCAUUGGAAACUGUGUAACUUGAGUGCAGAAGAGGAAAGUGGUAUUCCACGUGUAGCGGUGAAAUGCGUAGAGAUGUGGAGGAACACCAGUGGCGAAGGCGACUUUCUGGUCUGUAACUGACGCUGAGGCGCGAAAGCGUGGGGAGAAAACAGG
rnacentral:rRNA from 1 species